UGCUGUCCACGAGUCGGGUUGUUUGGGAAUGCAGCCCCAAUCGGGCGGUAAAUUCUGUCCAAGGCUAAAUAUGGGCGAGAGACCGAUAGCGAACAAGUACCGCGAGGUAAAGAUGAAAAGGACUUUAAAAAGAGAGUCAAAGAGUGCUUGAAAUUAUCGGGAGGGAAGCGGAUGGGGGCCGGCGAUUCAUCCCGGUCGGAUGCAGAACGGAGCAAUCCGGUCCGCCGAUCUAUUCGGGCCGUGGACCGACGUGGAUUAAGGUGGUGACCAAAGCCCGGGAUUUUGUUACACCCACAGAGACAUCGCUGCCUUAAUCGUGCUCUGCAGCACGCGCCUCACUGCGUGCCUCGGCAUCUGCGUGCUCAGGGCGUCGGCCUGUGGGCUCCCCAUUCGACCCAUCUUGAAACACGGACCAAGGAGUCUGACAUGUGUGCGAGUCAACGGGUGAGUAAACCUGUAAGGCGCAAGGAAUCUGAUUGGCUGGAUCCCUUACGGGUGCACAGCCGACCGAACUUGAUCUUCUGAGAAGGGCUCGAGUGUGAGCAUGCCUAUCGGGACCCGAAAGAUGGUGAACUAUGCCUUAGUGGGGCGAAGCCAGAGGAAACUCUGGUGGAGGCCCGCAGUGAUACUGACGUGAAAAUCGUUCGUCUGACUUGGGUAUAGGGGUGAAAGACUAAUCGAACCAUCUAGUAGCUGGUUCCCUCCAAAGUUUCCCUCAGGAUAGCUGGAACUCAGAAAUGAGUUAUAUCGGGUAAAGCCAAUGAUUAGAGGCAUCGGGGAUGCAAUGUCCUCGACCUUUUAUCUAACUUUAAAUAGGUAGGACGGGGUGGCUGCUUUGUUGAGCCAUCCCACAGAAUCGAGAGCUCCAAGUGGGCCAUUUUUGGUAAGCAGAACUGACGAUGCGGGAUGAACCGGAAGCCGGGUUACGGUGCCCAACUGCGCGCUAACCUAGAACCCACAAAGGGUGUUGGUCGAUUAAGACAGCAGGACGGUGGUCAUGGAAGUCGAAAUCUGCUAAGGAGUGUGUAACAAUUCACCUGCCGAAUCAACUAGCCCCAAAAAUGGAUGGCGCUGAAGCGCGAGACCUAUACCUGGCCGUCGGGGCAAGGGCCAGGCCUCGAUGAGUAGGAGGGUGCGGUGGUCGCUGCAAAACCUAGGGCGCGAGCCCUGGCGGAGCGGCCGUCGGUGCACAUCUUGGUGGUAAUAGCAAAUAUUCAAAUGAUAACUUUGAAGGCCGAAGAGGGGAAAGGUUCCAUGUGAACGACACUUGCACAUGGGUUAGUCGAUCCUAUGAGUCGGGGAAAACCCAUCUGAUAGCGCUUAUGCGCGAACUUCGAAAGGGGAUCCGGUUAAAAUUCUGGAACCGGGACGUGGCGGUUGACGGCAACGUUAGGGAGUCCGGAGACGUCGGCGGGAAUUCUGGAAAGAGUUAUCUUUUCUGUUUAACAGCCUGCCCACCCUGGAAACGGCUCAGCCGGAGGUAAGGUCCAGCAGCUGGAAGAGCACCGCACGUCGCGUGGUGUUCGGUGCAUUCCCGGUGGCCCUUGAAAAUCUGGAGGACCGAGUGUCGCUCACGCCCGGUUGUACUCUUAACCGCAUCAGGUCUCCAAUGUGAACAGCCUCUAGUCGAUGGAACAAUGUAGGCAAGGGAAGUCUGCAAUAUGGAUCUGUAACUUCAGGAAAAGGAUUGCCUAUGAGGGCUGGGCUCGGGGGUCCCAGUUCCGAACCCAUCGACUGUUGGCGAGCUGCUUGAGCUGCUAACGUGGCGAGACCGGACCGCCUCGUGUCGGCCGGGGGACGGACUGGGAACGGCUCUUUUGGGAUCUUUCCCCGGGCGUCGAACAGCCAACUCAGAACUGGUACAGACAAGGGGAAUCCGAUUGUUUAACUAAAACAAAGCAUUGCGAUGGUCCCUCCGGAUGCUAACGGAAUGUGAUUUCUGCCCAGUGCUCUGAAUGUCAAAGUAAAGAAAUUCAACCAAGCACGGGUAAACGGCGGGAGUAACUAUGACUCUCUUAAGGUAGCCAAAUGCCUUGUCAUCUAAUUAGUGACGCGCAUGAAUAGAUUAACGAGAUUCCCACUGUCUCUGUCUACUAUCCAGCAAAACCACAGCCAAGGGAACAGGCUUGGCAGAAUCAGCAGGGAAAGAAGACCCUGUUGAGCUUGACUCUAGUCCGACUUUGUGAAAUGACUUGAGAGGUGUAGAAUAAGUGGGAGCUCUGGCGCAAGUGAAAUACCACUACUUUUAAAGUUAUUUUACUUAUGAAUCGGAGGCGGGGUAACAACCCCUUCUGCUAGACCCACGACACUUCGGCAUGUCGAUCCGGGCGGAGGACAUUGUCAGGUGGGGAGUUUGGCUGGGGCAGCACAUCUGUUAAAAUAUAAUGCAGGUGUCCUAAUGUGAGCUCAACAAGAACAUAAAUUUCGUGUGGAACAAAAGGGUAAAAGCUCGUUUGAUUCUGAUUUUCAGUACGAAUACGAACCGUGAAAGUGUGACUUAUCGAUCCUUUAGACCUUCGGAAUUUGAAGCUAGAGGUGUCAGAAAAGUUACCACAGGGAUAACUGGCUUGUGGCCGCCAAGCAUUCAUAGCGACUUUGCUUUUUGAUCCUUCGAUGUCGGCUCUUCCUAUCAUUGUGAAGCAGAAUUCACCAAGUGUUGGAUUGUUCACCCACCAAUAGGGAACGUGAGCUGGGUGUAGACCGUCGUGAGACAGGUUAGUUUUACCCUACUGAUGCUCCCGCGUCGCAAUUGUAAUUCAACCUAGUACGAGAGGAACCGUUGAUUCGCACAAUUGGUCGUCGCGCUUGGUUGAAAAGCCAGUGGCGCGAGGCGUACCUUUUGUGAUGCGUCUUGGGGUUUAUGACUUGAGAACGCCUCUAGAGUUCAGAAUUCGCUAGGAAGAGCGGAGGCGCGCUCCGCCUUGUGUGGGACUGGGCGCUGGCAUGUGAGACUGGUCGGGCUGCCGGCAAAUGAGGCAGCGUGUCGUUGUAAGGCUUGUUUCUGCGGGAAGCCAGUCCGUUUUCGGUACGUGUCCUUGUUAGAUUG
rnacentral:rRNA from 1 species